UCUUGCUGUCACUUAUAGAUGGAUCCGCGCUGCAUUAGCUAGUUGGUAAGGUAACGGCUUACCAAGGCAACGAUGCAUAGCCGACCUGAGAGGGUGAUCGGCCACACUGGAACUGAGACACGGUCCAGACUCCUACGGGAGGCAGCAGUAGGGAAUCUUCCGCAAUGGGCGAAAGCCUGACGGAGCAACGCCGCGUGAGUGAUGAAGGUCUUCGGAUCGUAAAACUCUGUUAUUAGGGAAGAACAUAUGUGUAAGUAACUGUGCACAUCUUGACGGUACCUAAUCAGAAAGCCACGGCUAACUACGUGCCAGCAGCCGCGGUAAUACGUAGGUGGCAAGCGUUAUCCGGAAUUAUUGGGCGUAAAGCGCGCGUAGGCGGUUUUUUAAGUCUGAUGUGAAAGCCCACGGCUCAACCGUGGAGGGUCAUUGGAAACUGGAAAACUUGAGUGCAGAAGAGGAAAGUGGAAUUCCAUGUGUAGCGGUGAAAUGCGCAGAGAUAUGGAGGAACACCAGUGGCGAAGGCGACUUUCUGGUCUGUAACUGACGCUGAUGUGCGAAAGCGUGGGGAUCAAACAGGAUUAGAUACCCUGGUAGUCCACGCCGUAAACGAUGAGUGCUAAGUGUUAGGGGGUUUCCGCCCCUUAGUGCUGCAGCUAACGCAUUAAGCACUCCGCCUGGGGAGUACGACCGCAAGGUUGAAACUCAAAGGAAUUGACGGGGACCCGCACAAGCGGUGGAGCAUGUGGUUUAAUUCGAAGCAACGCGAAGAACCUUACCAAAUCUUGACAUCCUUUGACAACUCUAGAGAUAGAGCCUUCCCCUUCGGGGGACAAAGUGACAGGUGGUGCAUGGUUGUCGUCAGCUCGUGUCGUGAGAUGUUGGGUUAAGUCCCGCAACGAGCGCAACCCUUAAGCUUAGUUGCCAUCAUUAAGUUGGGCACUCUAAGUUGACUGCCGGUGACAAACCGGAGGAAGGUGGGGAUGACGUCAAAUCAUCAUGCCCCUUAUGAUUUGGGCUACACACGUGCUACAAUGGACAAUACAAAGGGCAGCGAAACCGCGAGGUCAAGCAAAUCCCAUAAAGUUGUUCUCAGUUCGGAUUGUAGUCUGCAACUCGACUACAUGAAGCUGGAAUCGCUAGUAAUCGUAGAUCAGCAUGCUACGGUGAAUACGUUCCCGGGUCUUGUACACACCGCCCGUCACACCACGAGAGUUUGUAACACCCGAAGCCGGUGGAGUAACCUUUUAGGAGCUAGCCGUCGAAGGUGGGACAAAUGAUUGGGGUGAAGUCGUAACAAGGUAGCCGUAUCGGAAGGUGCGGCUGGAUCAC
rnacentral:rRNA from 1 species